rnacentral:lncRNA from 1 species
GGCCAUCAACAGUACGACAUCGCCAUAAUUUAGAAAAUUAUUCAUCAACUUCCAUAAGGAGAGGUUAUAAAAUCCUCUCAACAUAAAUGUAAAAGUAACGUAAAAUAUCUACCCAGUGUUACAUUACAGAGCAAGACACUUAUUUUAUUAUUAUAAUAAUAAUAAUAAUAACAUAAACUAAGACUCUCCAAAGCUACUCCUCAUGAGCCACAUCUCUACCUCCAGUACCUGAGCGAUGUCGCAUAGAACAUCAUUCCAACAUAAGGGUAAGAACUUACAUUGUAUAAAAUAUAGCGUAACAAAGAGCAAGUAAACAAUUCAGAUCCAGCUUUAUAAACUCUUCACAUUGUCUUUAAAAUCUGAGUGAUUAUAAUAUUUGCUUUCAAGACAGUUUCAUAAUUCUUAUUGUUGUUUCAGAAAAUUAUAAGUUUUAAAAAGAAUAAUAAUUCGACUUUACCACAACAGCAAAAUAAUUCACCAACGAUUCACCAAACACAUAAAACCACUGAAAACGUGAAACUUAGUGUGUGAGACUCUAAUGUAUGCAUGUGGUACCAAUUGUUAACCUUAGCGGUAUCACCGCGUCCACUCCAGACAGUUAACCACCAAUGAAGUCCACUCCAGACUUCCAGAACCACGCCAGUUCUGGGACAAACCUCAGUUUUCCGAUGAAAACCGACACGUUGCCUCUUGACUAAAUGAAGUGUAUUUCGUGCAAAAACUCAUAAAUUAAAACAUGCAAUUUGAGACCACUCCAGCCCCAAAUAUAUAACAUAUUUCCUCACCAAAUUCCAUAACGGAAAUCACACCAAAAUUGCACAAAAUAACACUUCAAUACAAUUAUCAAAUCAUUCACUAUUCCACUGACAAAAUAGCAACACAAAAUCAUCAAAUGUCUCAUAUCAAUUACUAGAAUCAGUUUCAGAAUCAAUCCCAGAAAUAAGCAGAAACAUGGCAAACUUGCAUAUAAUCCUGGUACUAAAUGAGCAGUCCAAAAAUUAUGAAAAUUUUACCAAACAUAGCCUUAUACGUUAGCUUUCAUAUAAAAUUGGUUUCACCCAAUUUGGAAUUCUGUAGAGAGAGUUAUGGUCUCUACAGCACAGGCUGUUAGGGUUUCUGCGAGCAGAAACAGAGUGAACUUGCAGAUAAUUCUGGUAUUGAACCAGCAAUCUAAAAAUUAUGAUAAUAUUACCCAAUAUAGCCCUAUGAGUUAGCUUUCAUACAAAAUUGGUUUCACUCAAUUCGGAAUUCUGUAGAGAGAGUUAUGCUCUCUAUAACACAGGCUGCUAGGGUGUCUGCGGGCAGAAACAGAAUGAACUUGCAAAUGAUUCUGGUAUUGAACCAGCAAUCGAAAAAUUAUGAAAAUAUUACCCAACAUAGCCCUAUGAGUUAGCUUUCAUACAAAAUUGGUUUCACUCAAUUUGGAAUUCUGUAGAGAGAGUUAUGCUCUCUACAACGCAGACUGUUAGGGUAUUUGCGGGCAAAACAUAACAGAACCCAAUUUUCCCCGGAACCUCAAUUUCACUCAAAAUCAAUUUUGCUCAUCACAUGUUAACACUCAACACAGUCUCUCAGUUCUGAAUUUUCAAAGAAGAUGAGGGUUCCUUCAUGUUAAACUCAACCUGCUGUUAUUCUACAAUUAUACAAGAUAAAUUCAAACCCUUACCUCUUGAAGAUCAAAUUCUAGGUUUUUCUUCUCUUUUGUCCCCUUCUCUCUUUCACGCUUCUUUUCUUCUCCUCUGCUAACUUCUCC